rnacentral:rRNA from 1 species
UACGAAGGGGGCUAGCGUUAUUCGGAAUCACUGGGCGUAAAGCGCAAGUAGGCGGUUCGUUAAGUCAGAUGUGAAAUCCUAGGUUUCAAGCCGAGAACUGCAUUUGAUACUGAUGAACUAGAGGACAGGAGAGGAUGAUGGAAUUCCAAGUGUAGGAGUGAAAUCCGUAGAUAUUUGGAGGAACACCAGAGGCGAAGGCGUUCAUCUGGUCUGUCACUGACGCUGAGUUGCGAAAGUGUGGGGAGCAAACAGG